AACGUAGGUGGCGAGCGUUAUCCGGAUUCAUUGGGCGUAAAGAGCUUGUAGGUGGUCUCGUAAGUUGGACGUGAAAACUCCGGGCUUAACUUGGAGAGGCCGUUCAAUACUGCGGGACUAGAGGAUGUCAGAGGGGAGUGGAAUUCCUGGUGUAGCAGUGAAAUGCGUAGAUAUCAGGAGGAACACCCGUGGCGAAGGCGGCUCCCUGGGGCAUCCCUGACACUGAGAAGCGAAAGCUAGGGGAGCAAACGGG
rnacentral:rRNA from 1 species